rnacentral:rRNA from 1 species
CCUACGGGGGGCAGCAGUGGGGAAUAUUGCACAAUGGGGGAAACCCUGAUGCAGCGACGCCGCGUGAGUGAAGAAGUAAUUCGUUACGUAAAGCUCUAUCAGCAGGGAAGAAACACUGACCUUACGGUCAGCAGACGGUACCUGAGUAAGAAGCCCCGGCUAACUACGUGCCAGCAGCCGCGGUAAUACGUAGGUGGCAAGCGUUGUCCGGAAUUACUGGGUGUAAAGGGAGCGCAGGCGGGAAGCCAAGUCAGCUGUGAAAACUACGGGCUUAACUUGUAGACUGCAGUUGAAACUGGUUGUCUUGAGUGAAGUAGAGGUUGGCGGAAUUCCUAGUGUAGCGGUGAAAUGCGUAGAGAUUAGGAGGAACACCAGUGGCGAAGGCGACUUACUGGACUGUAACUGACGCUGAGGCGUGAGAGCAUGGGGAGCAAACAGGAUUAGAUACCCGGGUAGUC